AUGAAACCCAGUCACUCAGCAGGACUGAACUCUUCCCAGAACUGCAAGGCUGGAUCACAGGUUAAGUGCUUCUCUCCACCUUCUCCUGGGGCUGGAUUAGCCAGAAUCGGUGAAGGGGUCCACCCUGGGCAGGGUGAGCAGCACCACCACCACCAGGCGUCUGCUCGCCAAGCUCGCAUCCACUUUGCCCUCCCAGGACGGCACACUUCUGGCACUAGUCACCCUUAUAUUGUGUAUCCAUUGACCUGGGCUCCCCGUCUGAUCCGGGAGGCCACCUUGCCUCCUCCAUGACUUGCAGGGUGCGGCAGGACCACCGCUAAGGGAGGCACCCCAGGCAGCUGCCGCCUGCUUGGAGCUUUGACGCUCCCUGACUCCUGCUGAAGGACCUGGAUGAGGGUCGCAAGCCGUGGGGCCGGGGGCGCUGCUGGUGCCUGGCUGGCUCUCAGCUCUCCAGAGGGCGGCAGGGUGCAGAGCGCUGAGGAGACAUCUGACAAAAGCUGUGCAAGAUCUAGACCCCAAAAUAAACUGUAAAACCCUUCUGGAAGAUGCACCUGGAGACCAUAAUGUUAAGCAAAAUAAAUCAGGCACACAAGCAUAAAUAUUGCAUGGUUUCUCUUGUACGGGAAAUCUAAAAUAGAAAUAAAUCAAAGAGCAAAGUGAAAGACAGACAGUAGGAUACAGGAAGAUGGACCUUAUAAGCGGGGAAGGGACUGAGAGAUUGGGAGGGGUACAGUAGAAAAAGAACAAAGGGUGCAUACAGGUACCAAUCCCUGAUAGUGAGUAUAAUCAUUAUGUACUGCAACAGGUACUACUGCAAAUAAAAAUAUUUUAAAAAUUGCUAAAAGAAAUUGGCUGUCUAAAUAAAUACAUUUGUCAUGUUCAUGGGUCAGAAGAGAUGAUAUUGUUAGGAUAUUUUCUCCCCUCUCUCUUUUUCUCUCUUUCUCUCUUCCUUCCUCCCCCUGGUACUGGGGAUUGAUCCCAAGGACUUCAACUUCAGCGGCAUCCCCAGCCUUUUUUUUUUUUUAUCUUUUAUUUUGAGACAGGUUUUCACUAAAUUGCUGAUUUGGCUAGGGUGGGCUCAAAAUUGAGACCCUCCUGCUUCAGCCUUUCAGAGUUCUAGGAUUACAUGUGUGCACAACCAUGCUGGAAAUUCUCUUCAAAUUGAUCCAUACAGUCAGCGUAGUCCCAAUCAAAAUCCAAGUAAAGCUUUGUGUUUUUAUCAUAAGUCCCUGAAAUAUCAUAUAUUUUAUAUUUUUAUGCUUUACUGAGUAUAGCUGGUAUACAAUAAAAUGUAUAUAUAUGAAGUAUCCAAUUUAACAGGUUUUGUAUGUAUAUGUCUGUGAAACCAUCAGUGCAAACUAAAGAAAAUAUCUUUUGCCUCAAAAAUGAUACCAUACAUUGGGCAUUGUGGCACACGCCUGUAACCUAAGCACUUGGAAGGCUGAGGCAGGAAGAUCACUGAGAGUUUGAGGCCAGACUGGGCUACACAGUGAGUCCAAGGCCAGCCUGAACUGCAUAGUGAGAACUUGUCUCAAAAAAACAAAAAACAAAUAGACAAAAAAGCCACCCAAACAAAAAACAAUAUGCCAGGCAUGGUGGCACAUGCCUAUAAUCCCAGGAUGUGGGAGGCUGAGGCAGGAGGAGUUCAUGAGUUUAAGGCUAGCCUGGGCUACAUCGUGAG
ensembl:lincRNA